AAUUUAAGCAUAUAAGUAAGUGGUGGAAAGGAAACUAAACAGGAUUCUUUAAGUAAUGGCGAAUGAAUAAAGAAGUUUUCAUUUUGAAAAUUGUGGUCUGUGAUCAUGAAUUGUAAUUUCAAAAUGCAUUGCUAACAAAAAUGCAAAUGGUGGUUUAUUGGAAAGAACAUGACAAAGGGUGAAAAUCCCAUGUGUCAUUUGUAUUUUUUGUGUACGGUGUGCAUUUAUUGAAUCACAUUCUUUGACAAUGGAAUGUAAAUUGGGUGGUAAAUUUCAUCUAAAGUUGAAUAUGUUGUUGAAACUUAUAGAAAACAAUUACCAUGAGGGAAAUAUGAAAAGGAUUUUGAAAAGAAAAUUAAAAGAGUUUGCAAUUGCUAAAUUGAUAAGCAAACAAAACAUAUCUGUGCGCAAGAUUGUUGUAAUCAUUUGUUGUCAAACACAUGUGUUACAAUGGUUUUUGUGUAUUUUGCCAAUAUCCAAAUUUGGAAUGAUCACCCUUGGGUAUGAUUGGAAUUUGGUUUGCUAGCCAAGGAAUGUAUCUUGAAAAAAUCAUCCUCAGUUUGAUAUUUUGUUUUAUGACACAUGCAUUGCUCGCUUGAACAGCACCGUUGGAGCAAAUGCGCAAUGCUUUGUUUAAUUCACAUGGGCAUUAAUGUUUUGCUUGACCCGUCUUGAAAC
rnacentral:rRNA from 1 species